AGGCCCUUUCGGGGGUACACGAGCGGCGAACGGGUGAGUAACACGUGAGCAAUCUGCCCUUCACUUUGGGAUAACCACCGGAAACGGUGGCUAAUACCGAAUAUGACCAGUCUCUGCAUGGAGUGCUGGUGGAAAGUUCCGGCGGUGGAGGAUGAGCUCGCGGCCUAUCAGCUUGUUGGUGGGGUAAUGGCCUACCAAGGCGACGACGGGUAGCCGGCCUGAGAGGGUGACCGGCCACACUGGGACUGAGACACGGCCCAGACUCCUACGGGAGGCAGCAGUGGGGAAUAUUGGACAAUGGGCGAAAGCCUGAUCCAGCAACGCCGCGUGAGGGAUGACGGCCUUCGGGUUGUAAACCUCUUUCAGUAGGGACGAAGCUAACGUGACGGUACCUACAGAAGAAGCACCGGCCAACUACGUGCCAGCAGUCGCGGUAAUACGUAGGGUGCGAGCGUUGUCCGGAAUUAUUGGGCGUAAAGGGCUCGUAGGCGGUUUGUCGCGUCGGGAGUGAAAACUCGGGGCUUAACUCCGAGCCUGCUUCCGAUACGGGCAGACUAGAGGUAUGCAGGGGAGAACGGAAUUCCUGGUGUAGCGGUGAAAUGCGCAGGUAUCAGGAGGAACACCGGUGGCG
rnacentral:rRNA from 1 species